AUCUUUGCGCUGGGGCAGUUAUCAGUACAGUGAGGUCACCGACCGAGUAUGAUAUAUUGCUAGUUGAAAACUAUACCAAUGCUCUUUGGUACAGUUUCGCACUGACCAAGAAUUUCUGACGGGUCGCUUGCGAC
rfam:Aureococcus anophagefferens unplaced genomic scaffold ATRANscaffold_1018, whole genome shotgun sequence.